rnacentral:SRP_RNA from 1 species
GCCGGGCGCGCUGGCGCGCCCCUGUAGUCCCAGCUACUCGGGAGGCUGAGGUGGGAGGAUUGCUCGAGCCCAGGAGUUCUGGGCCGCAGUGCGCUAUGCCUACCGGGUGUCCGCACUAAGUUCGGCAUCAAUAUGGUGACCUCCCGGGAGUGGGGGACCACCAGGUUGCCUAAGGAGGCGUGAACCGGCCCAGGUCGGAAACGGAGCAGGUCAGAACUCCCGUGCUCAUCAGUAGUGGGAUGGCACCUGUGAAUAGCCACUGCACUCUAGCCUGGGCAACAUAGCCAGACUACGUCUCUU